UUUCCAAGCUUGGUCUCUGUCCAGGUGAAUACUUCUGGAAUUUUGUUAAUAUAUAUAUUUUACUAGAGAGAUGCCAUAUGACCAGCAAUUUAAGGGACAGCUCAGCACUUUGAAGUCUGAAUCCUCCAGCAGCUAUGUACAGUGCAACCAAAUUGUUGCUGAAAAUGUCACCCUGACAUCUUUAAAGGCUUUUAUUGAUAUUUUGGAGCAAGAGAGAGAAUUAUUUAAAAAGACCAACACUGGAAGAACUGGACUAUGGUAGGAGCAGAGGAUUAUACAUAAACUAGUCUUAUUCCGGAACAGCAUCAAGAAACAAAAUUAAAGAAAUGAGCAGUGUGAAAGAAGAAGAAAAAGUGGUUCAUAUAUUCAGAACUCUCCAAAGUUAAAGUGAUUCUCCAGGCUGAAGUCAAGGCUGGGGUCCAAAUGAAAGCAAAAAGAUGGAUUUGCUUUCUGAAAUGGGGUGACAUAAAAUGAAAGCCAUUGCGGGUCAUUUUAGUUCUGAGUUGCUGGUGGUUUGUCAUUCUCUGGAUGUUCGCCAGAGCCAGCUCUUGUUUCUUACAUGCCACAAAAGAUUUUGCUGCCUCUGAUCCUCUCGGUAUGAAAAACUGGCGCUUUGCCAGGGUGGAGAAUACAGGCAUAUAGGGAGGCAGUACUGGUUAAAGGACUAAAAGCCAAGAGAGCCCAACUUCUAAUCACUCUCUCACUGUAUAGAUUUGGAUACAUGACUUAACUGUUGGGCCUCAGUUUACCCAUCUAAAAUGUUGAUGAGAAAUAAUUCCUACCCCACAAGGGUGCUG